rnacentral:tRNA from 1 species
GUCUUCGUGGCUCAGUUGGUCAGAGCGUUGGUCUCAUAGAAGUAUGAAGCACUCUAAGAGUGAGAUAUCCAAAGGUCGUGAGUUCGAGCCUCACCGAGGACA